rnacentral:lncRNA from 14 species
GAACUUUGGAGGACUCUCACUGGGGCAGCUGGCAUUCUGCUUAGUUGCUCGGUGCGAGAGCUGCUGUCACCGAGAUGGGCAGUGUUAAAGGUGUGAGGCUGGAAGGUUUAGUCUAGCCUGGACUCCCAGAACCGAUCUCAAGGCUGAGAGCAGAAAAUGGGUACCUGCAGCACCAUGGGAAGACAGCUUCACCCCCUCACUGCCACCUGCAGCAGUUUUCCUUGGUUUCUGAUAGAAGUGGUUCAUCCAGGUGCCCAGUGCUUUCUGCCUGUUGCCAUGUUUGAUCAUAAGCCUUCAAUAGUGAGGGGCUUUUUGAGCUGCUGAGAUCCAAAUGGAUUUCACAUAGAAGAGAUGCUGAAGGAGACAGAGAAAAGACAUUUUGCUCAUGCUUACCUAAAAUGAGAACAAUUAAUAGGUUUUCAAGAGUUGCUCCUCCUCUUGUGUGAUGCCCUAUAAUACAAGAGCAAUGAAGGAUCGAGAAACACAACAGAGCAAGGCACUGGGAUUUUUCAGCAUUUGCUGAAAUACUAAGGCUGCACUCCCCCUCCUUUCAGCUCCCCUUUCCCUCAGACUCUCCAGGCGAGCAACCCGUUGUCCCCUGCCCCUGCUGUGCCAGCGGAGGGCACUCUAGCCCUGCUUUUGCCAUGUCAGGUUUUGCCCAGGGUUUCAGUUCAGGGUGGGAUUCUGAAAAGUGGUGUUGAAAACCGGUUGAGUAACUUGUUUCACCCAGAUGCCACUACUAGAUUUCUCUACAUUUUAUGAAUUUUCCCUUUCUGUUCAUUUUAGAAAUUACCUUCAUGAAUUAAGGCCCAGACUACAUCUGAAAAUGUGAGCACUCAUAAAAUGCUCCAGUUGGUCUGCUGAAGUUUUGGUUUUCUCGUAGAUCUUUGCACAUAACUACCCUUCCAUGUAGUUUAACUGUUUGCAAGUGCUGGCUUCACUCCUGCCACCAGUGGGACAAUUGGCUUGCACUGUGACUUACUGUAUAGUAGUCAAGGAAAGGGAAAAAGGAAAAGAGGUAUUUAAAAGGCUGUACAAAUGUGCUGUUUACAAAUGCAACCUGUCUGCAAAUUUUAGGUUAUUUUAGGAAGACCCCUGUUUAAUUUUAGGAAUACAAGAAUAUUUCAGUAUGUGAAUUUUCUGGAAUAUUUUGUAAUAUUUAUGGUGUGAAAAGGAAGAAUCAUUGAUGUUAAGAGUCCUCUUCCAAUUUCUUGGGGGAAGUCUGGAGCCAACUGAUGUGACAGGAGAAGUAGGCAGACUUGCUGAGUUUUAUUCCUCAUGUCUCAGAAUAUCAGAUUAGGCUACUCUUUAUAGUACAAAUAGU